UCCCGCUACCUCUGGUGCUCCGAUCGGCUCUGUGCCAGUGCUGCCAUCAGAUGCUUUGAUUGAGCCACAGUCGGGCCACCCCCGGCGAUGUCCCCGGCUGAUGCCCCAUAUACAGCUGUACAGCGCAGAUGCGUCCCACCGGCUCGUGCACCACGACCCACCCACCCGUCAGAGCGGUCAUCCAGGCCGCAGGCCCAGCGCCGUGUGUGUCCCGGACUCCCCCGGGGUGCAGGAUGCUUGGACGCGACUACACUCAGCAUGCAGCACCGGCCGAUGCGCGCAGCUUCCUGGGUUUUCCCAGUGAGCUUUCCUCUCCUCCGCGGGGCGCUGUUCCUCCAGGAGGGACACGGAAUGGGCUGGGCCUUCAUCCUGACCUAGGGAGAGAAAAGAAGAGACAGAAUCAGUGCUUGGAGAAAAUGCCAAAGAGCGCAGGAGAGUACCCCAGAGCCGCUGUCCUCCGCUGCUGGCAUGUUAGCUCAGCUUGGCUGGGCUCUGGAUGGCUUCCCCACUUCACGAAGUGUGUUAAUUUUAUGAGCACUUGUUUCUGACCCUGCAGAGUGGCAGUGAUUUAAGGCACUGGUGUUGGAAAAAUGUGCCAAUUCCAAGUUGUAAUUUUCUCCCAUCUUAAAAAUAAAUAGUUAG